UUCGUGUUCAAUUCCACCCAAAGCAAUCCUGCGUGCAGCGAGUUCGAGUGAAAUCGUGGAAUGCACCCCCCUUUCACGCCCUCACGUUUCCCUCCUCCACUCGACGCACGCUACGAAAGCAGGUCGAACAAGACGGAGAAAAAUAUCUGGGGAAGGAAGCGACGGCGAAGGUGGGCGCGCAACCUUUUUCCACAACCACCCCUCACCUCAGAACAAAAGUGUCCAACUUGAGUGUGCUGGCUCUGAGUGUGUGUGUAUGCGUCGAGGCAACUCACGAGCCCAAAUGUCCACGCACGACGACGCAGCAAGGAAGACGGCCGAGGACGUGUUGCAUUGGAACUAAAAUUGCAGGGAUGCCCUGGUACGACGUUUAGGAAGACGCAUUAAAUUUUGAAUAGAUCCCGUCAGAUCGAGGAGCGCAGACAGCCCACGUCGAUAGUUUUUUGGAGGGUGGAAACCAACCAGACUACGGGCGAGCUGAUGAGCGGCGGAUUCCGAUGGUCGCUCGACCUCCUGACAACAGCCCCCGUUACAGGCUUGGCGCCUUUUCGAUGAAAAGCCGCUCUCCAAAGAAAAAGACAACACAGAAAACUGUAAACGUGUGGAAUGAGAGUGAUUACUCUGUGAGUUCAUGAAAAGUCUUCAGGUGCGGGAACAUUUUCGAUAGACAUGAGUAGACGGGCACAACGUUGUUAGCUCGCCGCCCGAGCGCUUCGUUUUUUCCAGCGUGGACUCGUGCCGCCACUUUUGCGGCGCCGGAUGCGACCGAGAUAACUUUUUCGGGAGAAGUUUCCGCCAGUAGGCAUUUGAGUAAAUGUCGUCUUCGCUAUUCUUUUGUGGCUGUUUGUGCAUACAACGUUUGUGAGGGAGGGCUAGCAGAAAACUGCAAAGCUGGGCUCUUAAAGAUGACCUCCCGUGGCGAACCCAAUCGCCCCAGAACAAGAGUUCAGUCUUAGGCGGGUACGGCCUCUCGUGGUG
rnacentral:lncRNA from 1 species